UACAGAGGAGCCAAGCGUUGUCCGGAUUGACUGGGCGUAAAGCGCACGCAGGCGGAUGCGCGCGUGGGGUGUGAAAUCUGGCCGCUUAACGGCCAGGCGCCAUCCCAUACGGCGCGUCUGGAGUGAUGCAGAGGUCGAUGGAAUUGCCGGUGUAGUGGUGAAAUGCGUAGAGAUCGGCAGGAACACCCAGGGGGAAACCAGUCGACUGGGCAUCUACUGACGCGGAGGUGCGAGAGCGUGGGGAGCGAACCGG
rnacentral:rRNA from 1 species